CAGCAUGCUUGUGCUCAAUUGCAGGGUCCUCGUUCUCGAGUGUGCAGAGGGCGGUGAGAGCUCAACUCUCGUCCCCACCUCCCACCCGCAGCUCCUCACCCGGUGGGUGAGGAAUGCCCUGGACUGGGGAUAGCCAGGUGGGAGUCCGUCGCUGUGUGGCCUGUGGUCUCGGAGUCGGUUCUCCUGGAGGCUCGCAUUUGCACCCCCUUCUUCGCAGUCCCCCUCCCAUAGACUUGCUCUGGGAAGCGCUUCUGCCUCCGACCCUAGCCGGAACCCCUUCGGGGCCAGAGUUUGAAGCCGUGGAUGUGCCUGCCUCGUGGCUUGUCCGAUUUGCACGGUGACUUGAUUACACUUUCUCAUUCAUGGUUACUUCCGAAGCGCUUUAGUGCUUUCCGUCCCUAAACCGCCAACAGCCAGAACGGCUUCUCCCCGCGGUUUGUCACUGAGCCGCAGGGCCCGGAAGGGCCUUCGUCUUACCCGGGAUCCACCUCUCCCCUCAUCUUCUCUGCCUGCCUCCUCAUACCACCUUCUGUCCUUGGAGAAACCCCCUCCUCCUCGCUGCCUGCCGGGCUUCGGAGUGACUCGGCAGAGACAGAGGCACAGGGGCUGCCCUGCUGCUCACCGGUCCACCCAUCUGCCUGGUCUUCUGGAGCUGAGGACUCGGGAAACCAUGCAAUUGAGGCAAGCCUUGGGCUGCUUUAGAGGCGCUGACAUCCGAGGAGCCUUCUCCUGGGAUUGAAGGAGCAAUGUUUGGAGGAAGUGAAAGAAGAGAGAGGACACAGAGCAGCCAGGCAGGGCCAGGAGCUGAGAGGUGCCCAGACCUGAGGCCUCCCAACAACUCUCUUCUUGGAAGGAUCUGGGGUGUUGCUGAAGGAAAAUAAAAAAUAUGUAAAAAGAUAACCUUUUGCUUUUCCCUCUCCAGGAAAUAGCCAAAGUUAUGUACAUAUCUUGGGGAGAUUUAGAGUAUAAACUCUAAGAUCUUUGGUAUUUAAGUGUCAACAUCGAUCUAUUUAUUGCUGAGCUGACUGUAACUGACUCAAUAACAAAUCUAAUCAUGUAUUGCACUGGAAAAGAAAUAUUCUCAUUAUGUAUUUUCUCCAAAAAAUGGCCUACCAUUGCGUUUGAAUACCUGCUGUAAAUAUCAAUAAUAUGGAGUAAUU
rnacentral:antisense_RNA from 1 species